rnacentral:misc_RNA from 1 species
AAUUCCACCUACAAUUUUACAUAUUUCCCUCAAAUUUAGCUCAAACAUCCUUCAUUGAAAUGGUUAGAAAUUGAGUUAACUUACUAACCUCAAAAUUUUGGCCCUAUCUUUGACUUCCUUAGCUCAUUCUUCUGCAAACACUAGACCGUGCUCGGAUUUCACGACUACAAUCAAACUUUCCGUUUCAGCUUUAAUUACACCACCAAAACGAAUAGAAUCCUACUUGAAUUUGACAUGAACACCUUCUUCUACCUUUCCUCGUUGUUUGUCUGAAAAAUGGAACGGACUCGAACUCUGGAAUGUGUUUAAAAU